GACCGUAACAUCCCCACCGUCGCGAAUUUCGGAAAGUCGAAUUUCAAUUUGUGUUUCUCCAAACCCUAGAAAAUACCGGGUGGCUUUUUCCAGGUUUCAGGCUUAGUUUGUUGCUAUUAUUACAUUGCUUGAACGUUGAAAGUGAUACCCUCUAAGGUAUAUGAAUCGUACUGGAUAUUGUCUGCAGAUUGAGGAACAAGCUGGAAUUCGUGUUCAUUGUAGGCACAACUGGAAGAAGGAAGCAAGAAGAGUCCAUGCCGCCAUACCAGAAGAGUCUAUUCCUUCAGGAACACGGGAAUCAGAACAAACUUUGAAAAGUGAAGUUCUUUCAGAAAGCAAUCUGAAUGGUAGCCAGAAAAUUAUAAGUAAAACCGGAAGAAGAGAUUGGAAAAAAGAGGCAAGAAACAAGAAAUAGAUUCUUUGCAGCAAUGAACCUGUAUUGUUCAGCUGCUUGCUAAUUUCUGAAUGGAAUCGGUUAUCUGCAAUUCUGCAAACCAGGUAUUCAACAAUCCGAGGGAACAGCCUUUUACCAUUGAGUAGAUAAAUGAAGUUCGAGAAAAGUUGUCAAACUUCAUUACUAUUUAUUGUCUUUGAUAUUUCUUGUAGUAAAUCUUAGAUUAUGGAUGUUAGUUUUUCAUAUGAUUGUAAUGUAAUCAAUUUUUAUAUUUACAAUUAUAUACUAUUUAUUUAAUAAUCUAUAUAAUUGGAUACUUUUUUUA